rnacentral:rRNA from 1 species
GUCUACAGCCAUGCUACUCUGAACAAGCCCAAUCUCAUCUGAUCUCAGAAACUAAGCAGGGUCGGACCUGGUUAGUACUUGGUUGGGUGACCACCUAGGAAGACCAGGCGCUGUAGGCA